CGCGACGCACGGCCCGGCUUCCCCGCCCGGCCGCCGCCAUGAUGAGGAGGUCGGCGCGGCUGUGCUGCGGGCAGGCAGCGGAGAGGGCUCGCGGCGAGGGCUCCAGCUUACCCCGCCGCCGCGUCGCGUGCACGGAGCGCUUCAGAGGUUUGGAGGGGGCCGGAACCUCAAAAGCAACUGGAUGAGCACAACGCGGACGCCCCGGAGAAGCGGCGCAAGCGGGCCCAAAAUGGUUGCUGAUCAGACGAGUGGCAUCUCUCGCCCCCCUACCGCGGGAAUUGGGACCUCCAGACUGUGCCUGGGGGAUCGGCAAGUGGUUCCCCUCUGGUUUUUUCGGCGCUGCCUUCCCGGUGGUAUCCUCACUCUCUCUCUUUGAAAUGACCUCUGCUUUCCUAUCUCUAACUCUUCCCAGAUAUUUGAAAGCAAGUUUUUGUACAAAGCAACAUAUGAAUGUAUUCAGCCAUUCGAUCGUUCGGCGAACAUUUCUAGGUGUCUCGUGCUGUGCCAGAUAUUGUUCUGAGUGCGCUGAAGAUGCACCUGUUAGCAAGACAAAGUCCUGGCUCCCACGGAGCUUAUUCGAAGCAAUAGGGGCCCCCAAGCAGGUGCCUGAGAAGUAGGGAGGGGUGGACAGUGGGAAAACAACCUAACGGUGGAGACACACGAGGGGUCUUUUUUUACUUUUAGAAACGGGGGUGGGUGGUCACCCUAUGUUGCCUAGGCUGGUCUCGAACUCCUGGGCCCAAGCGAUCCUCCCGACUCAGCCUCCCAAAGUGCUGGUAUUACAGGACACCAUGCCCGGCAGAGGGGUCGUUUUUGUUGUUUUUUUAGUGUCGUCAGGAGACUCCCUCCAUCAGAAUUACUCAGGCUGAUUGUUUUGAGUCCUGGGACCCAGUUGGUAUCCAGAAUCUUGGCUUGUUUGCCUAGGAACCUGCAUUUUCACAUCCCCAUCUCCACACCCCUGGUGAUUCUUAUGCAUAUAAUAAUGUGAAAAGCAUUGCAUUGAAGAAUUGCUAAAGGGUGUCAGAAAACGGAUUAACAAAAUCAGGAAGCUUUAAUUUUCAAGAUUCUAUUAACCUCAAAAUUCAACAUAUCCAAAAAUUGAAUGUCUUUUUCUCCAGUGUUUUCUAGGAGAGUGCCAACACUAGCCACCCAAGUGCUCAAGCCAGAAACCUGGAAAUGAUCCAUUACUCUUUCCUCUGUCUCUGGAGUCCCCAUGUUAAAUUAGAUGUGUUUGUUUGUGAGACAGAUUCUCACUCUAUUACCUAGGCUGGAGGGCAGUGGUGCAAUCAUUGUUCACUGCAGCCUCGACCUCUCUGGGCUCAAGGAUCCUCCCACCUCAGCCUCCCCAGUAGCUGGGACUACAGGUCCCCACCACCACGCCCGGCUAAUUUUUGUAUUUUUAGUAGAGAUGAGGUUUCAUCUUGUUGGCCCGGGCUGGUCUCGAACUCCUAGGCUCAAGUGAUCUGCCUGCCUUAACCUCCCAAAGUGCUGGGAUUACAGCCGUGAGCCACUGCACCCAGCCCCAAUUAGAUUUUUAAAACUGUUGUUCCCUGUCAGUUCUUACUCUGGUUCAGGCUACUGUCAUCUCUCCUAGAGACACUGCGGUAGACUCCUCUUGGUCUCCCUGCCACCGAAAUUGCCCUCUCCAAAUCCACUACAGCUUGAAUGGUCUUUCAAGAAAGAAAAUCAUGUUUUUUCCCUGUUUAAGACUCUUAAAAAGAUCUGAUUAACACGUAGGAUAAAGUCUAAAAUUCUUUGAGGUGGCUACAGGGCCAUUGGUGAUCUCAUCCCUGUUGCCAUCUCUGACCUCAUCUGCCACAGAUAUUUCUCAGGCUACACUCAAAACUGGGAAGCUCUCAGGUCAUUUAAGCCUGGAAAUUGUGCCACCUCACAACUGUUGCAAGGGCUGUUCCCUUUGCCCAUAACUUCAUUUCUCUCUACACCAUCUAUGCACUUACUUGAAUCCUCACCUGAAUAAUUCUUACCAUUCUUUCAGAUCCCAACAUUAAUACCAUCGCCUCCAGGCAGCAUUUUUUCAUCUCCCAAGAUUGGGUGCAUUAGACCCUUUGUCAUCACACCCAGUACUCCCCACGUUUAUUGAGCGCUCACGAUGCGUCAGGCCCUAGUGGAAGCCUUUAUGCACAUUAUCUUCUUUCUCAUUUAAUUAUCAAGUAGAGCCCACAAGAGGUUGGAGAUGGCUGGAAGAAAUGAAAAGAAGAACGCCAACAAAGGCGAUAAAGAAAAAUUCAACACUGCUUGAUAACUGAUGAGAUAGUGAAGGAGUAGGAGGGCAAAAGUCAGAAGUAAUUCCAGGUGUUCAAGAACUAAAUGCUGAAGAGAUGUUAGUGUCGUUGACGGUCUUCUAAUGGGAAGUGAAUUUCAAUAGAAAGAGGAUGUGUUUGGUUUCAGACAGACCGAGUGACUGGUGACAACAGGAAAGCCACGUGUUUGGAGCAGAUUACUCGGUACAGUCAGCAGCUGGAAUGGAAGUGAAGAAGGCCCAGCAGAGCAUCAGACCUGAGUGCAAACUAUGGUGGUGUUGGUGGAAUAGAGGGAAGGGAGAGAUUUGAGAGACAUUGGGAAGAAAGGUUUUGGUUUUUGAGACAGAGUCUUGCCCUGUCAUCCAGGCUGGAGUGCAGUGGCAUAAUCUUGGCUUACAGCAAACUCCACCUCCCGGGUUCAAGCAAUUAUCAUGCCUCAGCCCCCUAAGUAGCUGGAAUUACAGGCAAGUGCCACCACAUUCAGCUAAUUUUUGUAUUUUUAGUAGAGACAGGGUUUCACCAUCUUAGCCAGGCUGGUCUCAAACUCCUGACCUCAGGUGAUCCACCUGCCUCGGCCUCCCAAAGUGCCGGGAUUACAGGUGUGAGUCACCAUGCCCAGCCACCAGAAGUUUAAUCAAGGCUCAGAGACUGAUUCCAGUUUGAGUUUUCUAAUAACUGUCUAAUACUUAGCUAAUAGCUUUGGACAGUUGCUCUUUUUAAAAUGAGAUCAUUCAAUCAUUGCAUUCAUCUUUGGGUAUGACUCACUAGUCAACAGAGUCCCCCUUCUGUAGAAACUGCCUCAUUCACAGAGAUGACCUCCACCAGUCAUGCCUAUAUUUGAGACCCUGUCUCUCUUUAUCCCCCAUUGCUGCGUGAUUCAAGGGUGGUCACCUGACCCAGGCAGUGCCAAGUUUAUUCUCUGUCUUGGGAAUUUAGAAUGUUUGUUUGGCUAAGAGACACAGAAACUGGAAGCUGGAGCUGAUGAUGGAGCUGAUCACGCUAAUGAUGGAGCUAUAGAGAUAAGAUGCAUGAACACCACCGAGGUCCCCAAGAUUGCCAUAUUCCUGCAGUGCCUUCUGGCCACAGAUAGUUGGUCCAGAAGCAGGUUCCUGACUCAACCUGGGCCAAUUAGAGCCUUUCACGGAGAUUUUGAAAUCAAAGUUGAGAUCUCUCUUUCUCUCUAUGCCCUUUGGUGUAUGUGUACUUGAGCUACAAGUUACCCAACUUUGGAAGCUGUAGACAGAGGCAAUUUUCCACUAAAUGAAGUGAGAAACAGAAAGUCCAUCAUUAGUGAGAGAGGAGCAAGGCAGAUGCACACAGAGAAGCAGAUAGAGGGGAAGCGGGCGGGAGUGGGGCGGGAGUUCCUGGAGUCCCCACAGUGCUCUAGUUUCUGAUUCUCUUCCUAAGACCCACAGGAUUCCUGCCUUUGGGUUUCUUAAGUUCCUGAAUAGCUCCUGAUUGCCUUUGUCUUUUUUACGAAAGUCCUUUGAGCAUGGUUUCAGGUGAGCAGACAGUCCUAACCUAAAGAGCUGUAACAAAUACACGUGGGCUGUGUGUGAGAUUCGGGGAGAGGCACCAGGGAUCCAGUGUGGGUCAGGCGUGGUGCCGCCCUCAAGGAACUUAGUGGGGAGAAAAUGAAGUCUGUACUUCAAUAACUACAGUGCAGGCUAGGAAGAGAACACCCUUAGAGAUGUGCAAAUCAAGCUCUUUGGGAGUUUAGAGGAGGCCUAGGACUGCUAAGGAAAGGCUGGGACUAGGAAGAGGUAAGCAAGUCACUGAGGAGGCAAAAUUUAAGAAGCCACCCACUCUCAGGGUGUGUGAAUGCAGCGUUGGCACUUGCAUGACCCUGAGAAUGAGCAACCCCUUAAAUGUAUCUUAGGCACCUUGCCAGACUCACUUUUAGCUUGCUGGACUAAUUGUGGGGAUCAGUAGGCCUUCAGAGGAAAGUUAGUGUCUGAGCUGAACUGAAGGAUGGGGUGGUUUUGGACUUGGUGGCAAUGUCAUCUACCUCAAGGUAAAGUAACAAUAUGGAAAACGCUCCCGUGAAAAUUCACAAGGUCUGUUCUAGGAUCAUCAGGCUCUUCGGUGUGACUUAAGAGUUCAGAGCAUGAAGGAGGAGGGGGCAGUAAGAAAAAUGGAGAGAACGUAGCAUCAGAUUCUGCAGGCAAGGAGAAAAUUGCUAAGCUGGGAAAUAACAUAAUCAGAGCGGUACUUAAGAUGAAUCUAACGGAAUAGCAUGAAAUAAAGGAAAGGCUAAGGAGAGGACAAACAGGAGGCUAUUGUGGCAAUCCAGGCGUGAAAGUCUAAACUAAUCAGCACUGGGAAUAGAGAUGCCAUAGGAAAAAUAAUACAUCAUUAAUAUAACUUGGCAAUUGAGUAGAUGUUGGAGACAAGAGAGAAAUCAGAAACACUGCUAAACACUAUGCAGCUAUAACAAAGAAUGAGAGAGCAUUCAGUAAGAUCACAUCCAAGAUAUGUACAUGAAAAACACAAGGGAUAGAACUGUGUAUAUGGCAAGCUAUCACUUGCAUUUUUUAUUUUUUAAAUGGUAUUUAUUUAUUUCUUGUUUUUUCCUUUUUUUAAGACUAAAAAAUCAAUUAUAAAAUCCUCAACCACUUGACUUUUUUUUUAAGUUCCUGGGUACAUGUGCAGGACGUACAGGUUUAUUAUAUAGGUAAACGUGUGCUAUGGUGGUUUGCUGCACCUAUCAACCCAUCACCUAGGUUUAAGCCCCGCAUGCAUUAGCUCUUUUCCCUAGUGCUCUUCCCCCACCAUCCUCCCCUGACAGGCCCCGGUAAGUGUUGUUCCCCUCCCUGUGUUCUCAUUGUUCAGCUCCCACUUAUAAGUGAGAACAUGUAAUGUUUGGUUUUCUAUUCCUGCAUUAGUUUGCUAAGGAUAAUGGCUUCCAGCUCCAUUUAUGUCCCUGUAAAGGACAUGAUCUUGUUUUUUUAUGGCUGCGUAGUAUUCCAUGGUGUAUAUGUACCACAUUUUCUUUAUUCAGUCUAUCAUUGAUGGGCAUUUGGGUUGAUUCCAUGUCUUUGCUAUUGUGAAUAGUGCUGCAAUGAACAUACGUGUACAUGUAUCUUUAUAACAGAGUGAUUUAUAUUCCUUUGGGUAUACACCCUGUAAUGGGAUUGCUGGGUCAAAUGGUAUUUCCAGUUCUAAAUCUUUGAGGAAUCGCCACACUGUCUUCCACAAUGGUUGAACUAAUUUACAUUCCCACGAACAGUGUAAAAGCAUUCCUAUUUCUCUGCAAUCUCACCAGCAUCUGUCAUUUCUUGACUUUUUAAUAAUCGCCAUUCUGACUGGUGUAAGAUGGUAUCUCAUUGUGGUUUUGAUUUGCAUUUCUCUUUUUUUUUUUUUUUUUUUUUGAGACAGUUUCAAAAACUUGUUGCCAAGGCUGGAGUGCAAUGGUGUGAUCUUGGCUCACUACAACCUCUGCCUCCUGGGUUCAAGUGAUUCUUCUGCCUCAGCCUCCCAAGUAGCUAGGAUUACAGGUGUAUGCCACCACGCCCAGCUAAUUUUUGUAUUUUUACUAGAGACGGGGUUUCACUAUGUUGGCCAGGCUGAUCUUGAACUCCUGACCUCAAGAGAUCUGCCCACCUCCGCCUCCCAAAGUGCAGGGAUUACAGGCGUAAGCUUCCACGCCCAGCUGAUGGUAGUUUCUUUUGCUAUGCAUAAGCUCUUUAGUUUAAUUAGAUCCCAUUUGUUGAAUUUUGCUUUUGUUGCGAUUGUUUUUGGCAAUUUUAUCAUAAAAUCUUUGCCCAUUCCUAUGUCCUGAAUGGUAUUGUCUAGAUUUUCUUCUAGGGUUUUUGUAGUUUGGGGUUUUACAUUUAAGGCUUUAAUCCAUCUUGAGUUAAUUUUUGUAUAAAGGUGUAAGGAAAGGAUCGAGUUUCAGUUUUCUGCAUAUGGCUAGCCAGUUCUCCCAUCACCAUUUAUUAAACAGGAAAUCCUUUCCCCAUUGCUUGUUUUGGUUUGUCAAAGAUCAGAUGGUUGUAGAUGUGCGAUUUUAUAUGUGCUGCCAAAGUGAGCACUAUUUAUUUAUUUUUUUAAACAGAGUCUCACUGUGUUGCCCAGGCUGGAGUGCAGUGGCAUGAACAUAGCUCACGUAGCCUUAUUUGCAUUUGUAAAAGGGAAAUAUGUUUUGUUUUGUUUUUUGAGACAGAGACUCACUCAGUCGCCCAGGCUGGAGUGCAGUGGCACCAUCAUGGCUCACCACAGUCUCAACCUCCCCAGGCUCAGGUGAUUCUUCCACCUCAGCCUCUGGAGUAGCUAGGAUUACAGGUGUGCGCCACUACACCCAGAUAAUUUUUUUUUUCUUGAGAUGGUGUCUCGCUCUGUCACCCAGGGCUGGAGUGCAAUGGUGUGAUCUCGGCUCACUGCAACCUCCGCCUCCCAGGUUCAAGUGAUUCUCCUACCUCAGCCUCCCAAGUAACUGGGACUACAGGCACCUGCCACCACACCCAGCUACUUUCUGUAUUUAUAGUAGAGAUGGGGUUUCGCCAUGUUGGCCAGACUGAUCUUGAACUCCUGACCUCAGGUGAUCCACCCGCCUCAGCCCCCCAAAGUGCUGGGGUUACAGGCACAAGCCACCGUGCCUGGCCCUUUUUUUUUUUUUUUUGUAUUUUUUUAGUAGAGACGGUGUUUCACUGUGUUGUCCAUGUUAGUCUUAAACUCUUGGGCUCAAGAGAUCUGCCCAACUUGGCUUCCCAAAGUGCCAUAAAGGCAUGAGCCACUGCACCUGGCCAUAAAAAGGAAAUAUGUAAACAAACAUCUUUGCUUACAUAUGUUUAUAUAUCCCUAGAGAAAUACGUACAAAAUUGAUGACAUUAAGUGGCCUGUUUAAGAGAAGUGGGGUGGCUGGGGGUCAGUAGUGAAAGAGAGUCUUUUUAGUGUUUAUAAUUUGAAUAUUUUAAAUCUUGAACCUUUUGGAUGAAUUAGCUAAUGAAGAAAAUUAGUUUAAAUUGCUUUUAAAAAUAAAUAAGUAUGAGCCGGGUGCGGGGGCUCAUGCCUGUAAUCCCAGCACUUUGGGAGGCUGAGGCGGGCGGAUCAUCUGAGGUCAGGAGUUCGAGACCAGCAUGGCCAACAUGGUGAAACCCCGUCUCUACUAAAAAUACAAAAAUCAGCCAGGUCUGGUGGCAGGCGUCUGUAAUCCCAGCUACUCAGGAGGUUGAGGCAGGAGAAUCGCCUGAACCUGGGAGGUGGAGGUUGCAGUGAACUGAGAUCACGCCAUUGCACUCCAGCCUGGGUGACAAGGGCGAGACUUCAUCUCAAGAAUAAAUAAAUAGGCCAGGCACGGUGGCUUACGCCUGUGAUCCCAGCACUUUGGGAGGCCGAGGCGGGCGGUUCACAAGGUCAGGAGAUCGAGACCAUCCUGGCUAACAUGGUGAAACCCCGUCCUACGAAAAAUAGAAAAAAAUUAGCCAGGUGUGGUGGCGGGCGCCUCCCAGCUACUGGGGAGGCUGAGGCAGGAGAAUGGCGUGAACCCAGGAGGCAGAGCUUGCAGUGAGCCAAGAUCACUCCACUGCACUCCAGCCUGGACGACAGAGCGAGACUCCGUCUCAAACAAACAAUAAAAAUAAAUAAAUAAAUAAAUAAAAUAAUUAAUAAAUAAAUAAAUAAAUAUGUAAUCCCAGCACAUUGGGAGGUCAAGGAGGGUGGAUCAUCUGAGGUCAGGAGUUCGAGACCAGCCUGGCCCAGAUGGUGAAACCCCGUCUGUACUAAAAACAUGAAAUUAGCUGGCUGUGGUGCUGCAUGCCUGUAAUCCCAGCUACCAGGAGGCUGAGGCGGGAGAAUUGCUUGAACCCGGGAGGUGGAGGUUGGAGGUGGAGGUGGCAAUGAGCUGAGAUCACGCCAUUGCACUCCAUCCUGGGUGAUAGAGCCAGACUCCAUCUCGAAAAAAAAAAAAAAAAGACAUAAAUAAAUAAAUAACCCCAAAGCCCAAAUACGAUACUGAAGUAUGGAGCUGAGUGACAGUAGCUCCAUUAACAAAAAUAAAGAACUCAGGAAGGGAAGUGCACUUGAGAAAAAUAAUGAUGUGUUUGGCUUGGGAUAUACAGAGUCUGAGAUGCCAGUUGUACAUACAUAAAAGAGAAGAAGCCCAUAAGCAACGGAGGAGGGCAAGCAAUCCAAUAGGAAGUUUGAAACAGCUUUGUCGGAAUAGUUACUGUGGAGUGGUGCGAGCAAAAGCCAGAAUUCAAGAGGCAGCAGGAUGAAGGGAAAGUGGGAAUGUAUUGGUAACUAGAGUAGUGUCCUUUAAGAGUGGUGGAUGGAAAGGGAGUGAUGGAGAGGUUGUGAUAGCUAGCGAAAGCUUGGGAUCAAGGCAGCAUGUAUGUAUUGGGCAUGAGGGAGAUUGAACCUAGUUAGAGGCUUCUGGAAAGGAAUCAGUAGAAAAAGAGGUUGAAGUGAUGUUUUUUGUUUUGUUUUUUAAAAAAAGAGAAUUAUGAAUGCAGGGGGUUAGAAAACAAAAAACAAGGGGAAGAAAUUGAUGGAGGAAGCGUUCUAAGGUGAGAAAGCACAAAAAUGGCGGGGGACUGAAAGGAUGUGGGGCACCUCCACGUUUGAGAGACUGGAGGGGAAGAAGGAAGGACAGGAGAGGGUGUGGACUUGAGUGUUUGCAGGGGCCCUGGGAGGGAGAGAGAUGUCAGGCUGGUUGGUCCCUGCUUUUCUAUGAGGCAAGAAACAAAGUCAUCUGCUGGAAGGGCCCCCCACCGCCAGUCAACAGGGAGCGGGCAGCAAUGGCGAAGGUGUGGAACAGGCCUUGUGGAGGGAGAAGGUGCCAAACAAGGGCAGGCAAGGGAGCUGACCGCCAGCGUUGAGGACCCAGCUGAAACUAGGACCCACUCAGAUAUGUUGACACCAGUUGACAUGGCUCAUGCUUUCUGGAAACUUCAACAGCAGACCACAGACAUUCAGGUGGCUAACGCAUACUUUUGUUUGCUUGUUUUGAGCUUUCUGUUCUGUUAAGUGUCAACUUAGGGUUUUCUUGCUGGUUGGUUGGUUGGUUGGUUUUUCUAAUUAUGGUAAAAUAUAUUGUAUUAGUUUUCUAGGGCUGCCUUAAAAUCCCACAAACUGGGUGGCUUACACAACAGAAAUGUAUUCUCUCACAGUUCAGGAGGCUGGAAGUCUGACAUCAGGUGUCAACAGGGUUGGUUUCUCCUAAGGCCCCUCUCCUUGGCUUGCAGACACAACCUUCUAACUGUGCACGUGCAUGUCUGGUAUCUCCUUCCCUCUCCCUCUCUCUCCCUUUGUGUCCCAG
rnacentral:lncRNA from 1 species